rnacentral:rRNA from 1 species
UGGGGAAUUUUGGACAAUGGGGGAAACCCUGAUCCAGCCAUCCCGCGUGUGCGAUGAAGGCCUUCGGGUUGUAAAGCACUUUUGGCAGGAAAGAAACGUCAUGGGUUAAUACCCCGUGAAACUGACGGUACCUGCAGAAUAAGCACCGGCUAACUACGUGCCAGCAGCCGCGGUAAUACGUAGGGUGCAAGCGUUAAUCGGAAUUACUGGGCGUAAAGCGUGCGCAGGCGGUUCGGAAAGAAAGAUGUGAAAUCCCAGAGCUCAACUUUGGAACUGCAUUUUUAACUACCGGGCUAGAGUGUGUCAGAGGGAGGUGGAAUUCCGCGUGUAGCAGUAAAAUGCGUAGAUAUGCGGUGGAACACCGAUGGCAAAGGCAGCCUCCUGGGAUAACACUGACGCUCAUGCACGAAAGCGUGGGGAGCAAACAGG